GAUCCUGGCUCAGGGAUGAACGCUGGCGGCGUGCUUAACACAUGCAAGUCGAACGAAGCACUCUACUUGAUUUCCUUCGGGAAUGAUUGUUUUGUGACUGAGUGGCGGACGGGUGAGUAACGCGUGGGUAACCUGCCUCAUACAGGGGGAUAACAGUUGGAAACGACUGCUAAUACCGCAUAAGCGCACAGCUUCGCAUGAAGUGGUGUGAAAAACUCCGGUGGUAUGGGAUGGACCCGCGUUGGAUUAGCUUGUUGGUGGGGUAACGGCUCACCAAGGCGACGAUCCAUAGCCGACCUGAAAGGGUGACCGGCCACAUUGGGACUGAGACACGGCCCAAACUCCUACGGGAGGCAGCAGUGGGGAAUAUUGCACAAUGGGCGAAAGCCUGAUGCAGCGACGCCGCGUGAAUGAAGAAGUAUUUCGGUAUGUAAAGUUCUAUCAGCAGGGAAGAAGAAUGACGGUACCUGACUAAGAAGCACCGGCUAAAUACGUG
rnacentral:rRNA from 1 species